rnacentral:rRNA from 1 species
AUUGAACGCUGGCGGCAGGCCUAACACAUGCAAGUCGAACGGAGCGGCGGACGGGGGAGGAAUGCCUAGGAAUCUGAAUGGGAGUGGGGGAUAACGUCCGGAACUGGGCGCUAAUACCGCAUCCUAUCAGAUGCGCCUAGGCCGGAUUAGCUAGUUGGUGGGGUAAAGGCAUACCAAGGCGACGAUCCGUAACUGGUCUGAGAGGAUGAUCAGUCACACUGGAACUGAGACACGGUCCAGACUCCUACGGGAGGCAGCAGUGGGGAAUAUUGGACAAUGGGCGAAAGCCUGAUCCAGCCAUGCCGCGUGUAUGAAGAAGGUCUUCGGAUUGUAAAGCACUUUAAGCUGGGAGGCGUUACCAACAGAAUAAGCACCGGCUAACUUCGUGCCAGCAGCCGCGGUAAUAC